rnacentral:tRNA from 5 species
CGGGGCGUGGCGCAGCUUGGUAGCGCGCUUCGUUCGGGACGAAGAGGUCGCUGGUUCGAAUCCAGUCGCCCCGACCA